GAUGAAGAACGUAGCAAAAUGCGAUAAGUAAUGUGAAUUGCAGAAUUCAGUGAAUCAUCGAAUCUUUGAACGCACAUUGCGCCCGCCAGUAUUCUGGCGGGCAUGCCUGUUCGAGCGUCAUUUCAACCCUCAAGCACAGCUUGGUGUUGGGACUCGCGUUAAUUCGCGUUCCCCAAAUUGAUUGGCGGUCACGUCGAGCUUCCAUAGCGUAGUAGUAAAACCCUCGUUACUGGUAAUCGUCGCGGCCACGCCGUUAAACCCCAACUUCUGAAUGUUGACCUAGGAUCAGGUAGGAAUACCCGCUGAACUUAAGCAUAUCAAUAAGCGGAGGA
rnacentral:misc_RNA from 1 species